rnacentral:rRNA from 1 species
AUUGAACGCUGGCGGCAGGCCUAACACAUGCAAGUCGAGCGGCGCGUCGGACGGGUGAGUAAUGCCUAGGAAUCUGCCUGGUAGUGGGGGAUACCGUCCGGAAACGGGCGCUAAUACCGCAUACUAUCAGAUGAGUCUAGGUCGGAUUAGCUAGUUGGUGGGGUAAAGGCUUACCAAGGCGACGAUCCGUAGCUGGUCUGAGAGGAUGAUCAGUCACACUGGAACUGAGACACGGUCCAGACUCCUACGGGAGGCAGCAGUGGGGAAUAUUGGGCAAUGGACGAAAGCCUGAUCGAGCCAUGCCGCGUGUGUGAAGAAGGUCUUCGGAUUGUAAAGCACUUUAAGUUGGGAGGCGUUACCAACAGAAUAAGCAACGGCUAACUACGUGCCAGCAGCCGCGGUAAUAC